rnacentral:rRNA from 1 species
UAACUGAAGAGUUUGAUUCUGGCUCAGAACAAACGCUGGCGGCGUGCCUAAUACAUGCAAGUCGAACGGGGAAAGUCCUUCGGGGCGAGUACUAGUGGCGCACGGGUGAGUAACACGUGGAUAAUCUGCCUUUUAGUGGGGAAUAACUA